rnacentral:tRNA from 1 species
GCCAUGGUGGUUCAGUGGUAGAAUUCUUGCCUACCACGGGAAACCUGGGUUCAAGUCCCAGCGAAUGUA